UGAAUCGUUUGAGAACGUUUGUCGAAGUGAUUGGCUCAUUCAUAGCUCCAGUGGAUUUUCUUUAUGGCAUAGCUGUUCUGUACGUCUGCUUAUCAGAAGAUCUAGCUUUGGGUUUGAAGCUAAAAUUUGUAGCAGGAUCGUUGGGAUCUACGUUUUCAACAUUCAUCUUCUACUGGGCUGGGCAAAAAUUGGAUGAUGCGAUACACGAAGUGUCGGUUGCUGUGUACUCUACACCUUGGUAUUGGUCAGUAAAGGUGCGAAAAAAUGUUUACAUGUUGCUCUGCCAUUGCCAUACGGUGAAGAGUUUUUCCAUCUUGAAGAUAUACGGAUUACAAUUGCAGAAUUUUUCACGGUACUGUAAUGGAGUCAUGACCUAUGCGAAUUUAUUGCGCAAACUCACCAGCAAAUAAACACUAAUAUUGAUAAGAUUGGAAAUUCUGCACAUUCAGAAACACCUACAUACGUGUAGAUUUAAUCGUUACGAUCAACCUUUUAUCCAUGUAAUUUAUUAUUUACUGACUUCUAUUUUAUAAUUUCUCACUAAAAAGCUCUUUAUCAGCCAGGAAGGACGAAAUUUUGAGUUUUUUGGUGGUGGUGGGAGGGGGAGAAGAUGGAGUAGAAAUAUUGAGAUUUUAAAAAAAUUUAGUUCAUUUGAUUGAAAGUUUGAAUAGCUGACAUCUUAAUUAUAAAACGAGAAGACUAUUAUAGAAAGAAGGAAAAAAAAAACAGAUUUGUUGGAAUCAAAGCUAAAUCCUUUCUGCUUCUUUCGAGGGCAUCUUUUAUGGCAAACAAAAAUAAAAAUGUGGUGAAAAUUUCUAAAUACUGCAGGUUUUUUUACAGAUUGGGCUGUCACUUCUCAAAAAUUUGGGAAAAAAUCAUGUAUUAUAAAAAACCGGAAAAUAGACAAGAAAUUUUCUAGUUUUAAAAAUUUUACGCUGUCGCAGGAAAUUCUAAAAUAGUGGACAAAUAUUUUCUUUGCUUUUUUCUCCCUUUCUCGAGCAAUCCUGAAAAAUGAAUCUUACAAAAAAUCAUUCUUUUAACAUUCUGCUCGCCGCGAAUAUGAUUCGUCAUAUUUACGGCAAACUGGGUAUGCAAUUUUAAUAACACGUCUCGUCACACAGGGGUUCCCAAUCAGCGAACAGCGGUCAGAAUACCAAUACGUUAUUCAGAGCAUUGAAAUUUCAGAUAAUGGUGGGGUUUUAAAAAAAUCUACAGAGAGUAUGCCUGGAAGGAUUUUUAUUCGUUCAUUUUAUUU